rnacentral:ncRNA from 1 species
AAAUCGCUGUUAAGAUGCAGUGUAUCCGCGGCUAGACGGAAAGACCCCGUGAACCUUUACUACAGCUUCACAGUGGAUCUUGAUGUUGCUUGUGUAGGAUAGGUGGGAGGCUUUGAAGUGUGGACGCCAGUCUGCAUGGAGCCAACCUUGAAAUACCACCCUGGCAAUAUUGAGGUUCUAACCCGGGUCCCUUAUCGGGAUCGGGGACAUUGUGUGGUGGGUAGUUUGACUGGGGCGGUCUCCUCCCAAAGAGUAACGGAGGAGCACGAAGGUUGGCUAAGCACGGUCGGACAUCGUGCGGUUAGUGUAAAGGCACAAGCCAGCUUGACUGCGAGACGUACAUGUCGAGCAGGUACGAAAGUAGGUCUUAGUGAUCCGGUGGUUCUGAAUGGAAGGGCCAUCGCUCAACGGAUAAAAGGUACUCCGGGGAUAACAGGCUGAUACCGCCCAAGAGUUCACAUCGACGGCGGUGUUUGGCACCUCGAUGUCGGCUCAUCACAUCCUGGGGCUGAAGCCGGUCCCAAGGGUAUGGCUGUUCGCCAUUUAAAGUGGUACGCGAGCUGGGUUUAGAACGUCGUGAGACAGUUCGGUCCCUAUCUGCCGUGGACGUUGGAAGUUUGAGGAGAGCUGCUCCUAGUACGAGAGGACCGGAGUGGACGAACCACUGGUGUUCGGGUUGUGUCGCCAGACGCAUUGCCCGGUAGCUAAGUUCGGACGGGAUAACCGCUGAAAGCAUCUAAGCGGGAAGCCCCCUUCAAGAUGAGACUUCCCUUGGCCUUCGAGGCCACAUAAGAGACGUUGAAGACUACGACGUUGAUAGGCUGGGUGUGUAAGCGUUGUGAGGCGUUGAGCUAACCAGUACUAAUGACUCGA